CGACGUAGGUAACCUGCCUUGUAGCGGGGGAGUAACUAUUGGAAACGAUAGCUAAUACCGCAUAACAAUGGAUGACACAUGUCAUUUAUUUUGAAAGGGGCAAUUGCUCCACUACAAGAUGGACCUGCGUUGUAUUAGCUAGUAGGUGAGGUAACGGCUCACCUAGGCGACGAUACAUAGCCGACCUGAGAGGGUGAUCGGCCACACUGGGACUGAGACACGGCCCAG
rnacentral:rRNA from 1 species